rnacentral:lncRNA from 1 species
UCCAUUGUCACACUUUCUUCAUAAGCAAGAAAUUCCAUAAUUGUGCAAACUUGGUCACCAUGCCAUGACUUGGUCAUUCUUGCCUUACCUUGCCACACAUUGCCUUGCAUUUUUCCUUGCCUACCAUGACAAACCAGUCCUAUAAUGCAUACCCCUUCAUCAAUCCACACCAUGAGAUGUACCUCAACAUGGCUCCAAUCAUGACUUGUACUACAACAAUGCCAUUUUAUGUGUUGUGCUGCACCAACUGAACCUGCAAAUCACAGCAUUGGCCUUAGGCUUGCAAACAAAACCAACUCACCAUGAAACUACUAAAAUACAAGGAAAAAUCACAAACCACCCUUCAGAUGUUGAAAUCAGACCAAGCCCUCCAUUUUCACUGCAGUAAAAAGGAUUGAUUAGCCAACAGUAAAAUGCAAAAAUCAGAAAAAUUCCCAAUUUGGAAUAGAGAUGAAAUUCAAAGAAGAAAGCGAAGGUUCAGAUUACCACUUUCGAACCUAGCACCAAAGAAGUCAAACCAAGUUCUGAGCAUCAAAAAGUGUUUCGCAGGAUGCUCUUUUGAACACAAGGGCACCAAUUUGAAACCCUAGCUG